AGUGAACGCUGGCGGUAGGCCUAACACAUGCAAGUCGAACGGCAGCACAGUAAGAGCUUGCUCUUACGGGUGGCGAGUGGCGGACGGGUGAGGAAUACAUCGGAAUCUACUUUUUCGUGGGGGAUAACGUAGGGAAACUUACGCUAAUACCGCAUACGACCUACGGGUGAAAGCAGGGGAUCUUCGGACCUUGCGCGAUUGAAUGAGCCGAUGUCGGAUUAGCUAGUUGGCGGGGUAAAGGCCCACCAAGGCGACGAUCCGUAGCUGGUCUGAGAGGAUGAUCAGCCACACUGGAACUGAGACACGGUCCAGACUCCUACGGGAGGAAGCAGUGGGGAAUAUUGGACAAUGGGCGCAAGCCUGAUCCAGCCAUACCGCGUGGGUGAAGAAGGCCUUCGGGUUGUAAAGCCCUUUUGUUGGGAAAGAAAAGCAGCAGGUUAAUACCCCGCUGUUCUGGCGGUACCCAAAGAAUAAGCACCGGCUAACUUCGUG
rnacentral:rRNA from 1 species